GGGGUUAGCUCAGUGGUAGAGCCCUUGUCUCACAUGUACAAGGGCCUGGGUUGGAUCCCCAGCUUCA
rnacentral:tRNA from 1 species